GGCCAGCAGGGCCCAGCCAGGCACAGCCUGCUGGCUUGGCAGGGAGUGGGCAGGGGGACGGCUCCUAGGAGAGCAGUUAGCUCACUGGGGCCGGCUGCCUGAGGAGGGUCCAGGGGCCGGUUGGGCCAGCACUGUAGUGAAUCCAAGGACCCAGGCCAGCCCUGUCCGGCCAUCGCCGUGAGCAGCUCUGCCGACCCUGGAUGCGUUCUGCUUGGCCGCGUGACCCCUUUGGGAGGGGAGUUCUGCACACUGAGUGAUUCAUUUCUUUCUUCCAACAAAUCUUCCCCGGUUAAAAACAACCAGAAAACCAUCUGCACCAGUGACAAUGUGCACCUGUGGGGACUCAAACUGACACUCUUCAGGGUGACAGUGCCCAGGCCCAGGUGGGGGCAGUCUGUGCAGGUGAAUGGCAGCUCCUGUCCUUGUCCUUGGUGACAGCACACUGACCCACCUACUGUAGGCCACACCCAGUGGGGCCACCUCCAUUACGCUCAUUGGCACAGCCCCACCUCUCUGCUGCCCUCUGACCUUGGCCCUGUCCCUGGCCUCUUUCAAAGACAAACCCACCAGCAGGUGCCGCGCCUGCCCACACCACAGUCUGUACCUCCCCACUGCUGCUUCCCCAAGAACCAAACGGCUGCGUCCUUGCUGCACCUCUUCCUCUCUGGGUCCUUGCUGUGCCUCACCAGCCCACCCUCCUUCCAGAAGCACAGUCCAGCCCUGGCUCUGCCCAUACUGGGGGUCACAGCAGGAGUCAUUCCUGCGGAGCCCAGCGCCCUCUCACCUCCAGGCCUGGCUCCUCCUGCUCCCUGGCUCAGCAGGGCUGCCCUGGGCUCCUCCCCCCGAGUGCCACUGCCCACACCCCACCCACUCUGCCCCUGGCCCACUGCUCGCACCUCAGUGAAGGCUCAGGACCUUCCUGUGGGCAGGCAGGUCUCCAAGCUCAGAAAGGCCAAGUGGGACAGAGCAAAGCGGAUCCUGCUGGGCCCUGUGCAUCCUGCACCUGGAGCCUUGGGGCACAGGACGGGCAGGGCUCUGUGCUGCCAGGACAGAAGACAUUUCCAAAAGGCCUUCUCCCACAGGGCGAGGCCCAAGACGCACAUGUUUUUACACUCCUGGGCACCUGGCAUUGGGCCAAGCACAGAGCUGGUCCUCAGGGAGUGCUGGCCAGGAGAUCACUCAGAAAUCUCUGCCCUGGCGACCGCGGCUCCAGGAGGACAGCUGCUCAUUCCCCCAGGACCUGGUCUAACCUGCUGUCCCUCACAGGUGGGCCUGAGCCUGUCCAGAGACGCCUGGAGGCUGUUCUCCACUCUGGCUAUCCCUUGAGACUCACCCCACGCUCGGCCUGCAUCCUCCCCCAAGCUGAGGGGUGCAGAAGCUGACCCCCAGCUAGCGCAGUGAGCAGCUGGGCCCACUGAGGAGCCUGGGGAGGCUCCCAGCAGACGUGGACAAGGGCGGGGUGGCACCCCACAUCCACAGGGUCACAGGUGGAGAUACCCAGGACCAACAGGAGGCAUGCCUGGGAAGGACAGCCGGGGUGCUCCACGGGCUUAGUGACAUGGAGAGAAGCCACAGCACGUGGCUGGAGGAGCCCCCCACAGCGUGCACAGGGAACAGUAGUGCGGCAGUGACAAGCAGCCCCAUUGCCACAUCACUCCUCUACCUAUUUAUUUUUACUUUUGGGGUGCUGGGGUUGAGCCCAGGCCUCGAGCACGCAAGCCAGGCAGGCGCUCUGCCACGGGCCACACCCCGUGGAGCUCAUGUCUUUAGCGAGGACCGCUGGCUGGCGGUGGCCACCACUGUCCUCCUGGCGUGCGUUUCCUCCUUCUCACAGUGCCCGCCGGCUCCCGUGUGCCCGCCAGUCCUCUGCACGAUGGGUGUUCCUGAGCCAGGCCAGGGUCGUGAGCUGCAUGGACUUCAUCUUCUCAGGGCUCUUCCCCGCUGCCCAGCCCCCAGAGCCCCUACCUUCCCAAGUUAGCAGCCUCUUCUCAGAGUGGGGUGACCUCUACUCGUCCCUGUUGGAAACACCGUGCUUGCGAGGUCAGGGGUGCCAGGCCAAGGAGGGCCCGAGGUCAGACCCCUCUCAUCUUGAACAGGGAGGACAGUUCCAUUCCCCCUCUCUGUAGUUUCUGUUGAAUAGUAAACACUGUUCACCAUUCCUGCUAGCCUUGAGGAGCUUUGUCCCCGAAAACGUAGGUGAGGGAGGAGGGCACUGGCACAGCGUAAGCAGAGGCACCUGUGGAGGCCGUGGGCGCAGGGUCCCACUCUGCAGAGCGGCGAUGCUGCCUGGGCUCUGCUGUCCCUGCCUCCCAACAGGGCCCUCCCCGGUGUCCUCAACAUGUGUGGGAUGGGGGCUGGUGAGGCUCUGCCCAAGAAGAGAGGGCCCCACAGGCCCCAAGUGGAGAACAGAUGGGGGUGCUGUGGACCCCUGGGCCUGCCCCGCC
rnacentral:lncRNA from 1 species